CUGGCGGCGUGCCUAACACAUGCAAGUCAAGGAAAGCGGCUCGGUCGGAGUACUUGGCGCAAGGGUGAGUAAUGUAUAGGUAAUCUGCCCUUUGGACUGGGAUAACCUCGAGAAAUCGAGGACAAUACCAGAUGAUGCAGCGGAACCGCAUGGUUAUGUUGUUAAAGAUUUAUCGCCAAAGGAUGAGCCUAUAUCCCAUCAGGUAGUUGGCAGGGUAAAAGCCUACCAAGCCUACGACGGGUAGCUGGUCUGAGAGGAUGAUCAGCCACAUUGGAACUGAGACACGGUCCAGACUCCUACGGGAGGCAGCAGUGAGGAAUAUUGCGCAAUGGGCGAAAGCCUGACGCAGCAACGCCGCGUGGAAUGAUGAAGUUCUUCGGAAUGUAAAGUCCUUUUGCAGGGGAAGAAUCUGCCGGUACACCGGCAUUGACGGUACCCUGCGAAUAAGCCACGGCUAACUCUGUGCCAGCCGCCGC
rnacentral:rRNA from 1 species